AUGCCGGAUGCUCCAGUUGGAUGCAUGUCCUUCUGGGAAAGAUUCAUCGGUAUGGGAUGGGGUCGCGUCCUAUCAGCUUGAUGGCGGGGUAACGGCCCACCAUGGCUUCGACGGGUAGCCGGCCUGAGAGGGCGACCGGCCACAUUGGGACUGAGAUACGGCCCAGACUCCUACGGGAGGCAGCAGUGGGGAAUAUUGCACAAUGGGCGCAAGCCUGAUGCAGCGACGCCGCGUGCGGGAUGACGGCCUUCGGGUUGUAAACCGCUUUUGACUGGGAGCAAGCCCUUCGGGGUGAGUGUACCUUUCGAAUAAGCACCGGCUAACUACGUGCCAGCAGCCGCGGUAAUACGUAGGGUGCAAGCGUUAUCCGGAAUUAUUGGGCGUAAAGGGCUCGUAGGCGGUUCGUCGCGUCCGGUGUGAAAGUCCAUCGCUUAACGGUGGAUCCGCGCCGGGUACGGGCGGGCUUGAGUGCGGUAGGGGAGACUGGAAUUCCCGGUGUAACGGUGGAAUGUGUAGAUAUCGGAAAGAACACCA
rnacentral:rRNA from 1 species